ensembl:lncRNA
AUGACUGGCAGGCUCAGCGGGGACUUCUAUCAGACCAUUUACACGUCCUUUUCCCAUGAGGCUUGGCAUUCUCACCGUACAGCUGCUGGCUCCCAGGGCUUGUGUUCCGAGAGGGAACAUCCAGAUAGUAGAGGUUCCAGAAAGCCAGAUGGAAACCUUAUGCCUCUGAGGAUCUUGUCUUGGAAGUCACAUAACAUCACUUCUUCUGUUUUCUACAGGUCAAAACAGUCACAACCCUGCUCAAAUUCGCAAAGAUGGGACGGAAAUGGAACCUCUUCAUGGGAGGAAGGGACAAAAACAAAACAGUUUGUAGGGAGAACGGCAAACGACUUGUCUCCUGACUACCAUCCCUGUUACUGGAGAUUGCAGAGAAUUAUCACCAUAACUGGAGCUGGACAAAUGGUCUCAUCCACUGGGAAAUGUCUAGAAGAUGAAACGGAGGUCCAGGGAAUGUUACUGACCUAUCAAGGCUGACAAAGCUGAUCAGAGCCAUGUUUAGAAGCUUCUGCUUUCAACAUAGUGCACUUUCUGUACUUCUCAUGCUCUUGUCCACAUUCAAAAGCUUAAUUGUUUGUGAGUGUUCCCAAUACGCAUAGCUAAUAAAUCCGGGGUAAUAGUUUUUUCCAUGCUUCACUGGAAGCGAAUCAGCAUGAUUUGACUUCUAAGGUUAUUGACAUUUUCUAAGUGAUAGCUGCUCAUUGUAAUGCGUAUGAACCUAUUUAACAGAAUUAAUGAAAAUCUAAUCAUUUCUGCAUUUUGAAGAUGCUGGGUUAAGUAAAAGGGAGAAAAACAAAAACAGGGGAGCAAAAGCCCUGCAAAGAUGAAUUGAUUUAUUAAUAUCACCCUAGUUAUUCCAAUAGGAUAUGACAUGAAACAUAUAAGAUGAAAACAUAUAUGUGUAUUAAUCUUAAUCAGAGAAAUUCAAAGAACUGAUGCAUAACUACAGGAUUGAGCGCUAACAAAAAUAGAGAGUAAUAAAUGUUUUACUCCAGUAGUUUUGAUUACUCAGGGGAAAUAGAUUUGGAAUAAAAAUGAGAUGUGCAAACCGAUCUAACUUGUACCAAUAUAUACUGUAAAUUAAAAAUAAAUUAAAUAGCCAGUUUCUAAACUAGCAUAGAUGAGAAUAAAGGAAUGUGAAGGUCUAUUGAAUCAAUCUUUCAAAGACUGUAAUGCAUAAAAAAUUGUGCUUAAAAAUUUACUUCCAUGAAACACAUUCUUAAAAAAAUAUCACAGGAAGGCUUCUAAACUGCAAUCAGGGUAUUUAAAUUUAGAUUACAAGAGGCAAUUGAUGCUCUUUCAAUUCAUUUUGCUAUUAUGCACGCUAAAGCAUCAGACAGAAAAGAGUUAAUGGCUGAGGAGAAGGGGCACAGGUUUGAACUGAAUGACUACCCUCAAUUUAAUGUGUAAACUUGACCAAAGAAUAAAAUAUUUGGAUUUUUGAGGAAAAGGGGCAUACAGGAACAGGAGAGAUAAUAACCUCACAAAUGAGUUCACCAAAGUGUUGUAUAUAAUUUACUAUUGCAAUAUUUGUUUUUCAAAAGUAAUGUCACGUGUCAAAAGAAUGAUGCUUAUUUCUUAUCAGUCUGAUCUUUGUUAGAUAAAGCAAAAACAGUGACGUGC